rnacentral:rRNA from 1 species
GACGAACGCUGGCGGCAUGCCUAACACACGCAAGUCGAGCGGUAACAGGCCCUUGGGUGCUGACGAGUGGCGGAUGGGUGAGUAAUACUUAGGAAUCUACCCUGUAGUGGGGGACGAACCCGGGAACGUACGGCGUAAUACCGCAUACGCUCUACGGAGGAAAGACGGGGCCGGCAAGGCCUCGCGCUAUUGGAUGAGCCUAAGCCCGA